rnacentral:rRNA from 1 species
CCUACGGGAGGCAGCAGUGGGGAAUAUUGCACAAUGGGGGAAACCCUGAUGCAGCGACGCCGCGUGAGGGACGAAGGUUUUCGGUAUGUAAAGCUCUAUCAGCCAGGGGGAAAAUGACGGCACCUGAUUAAGAAGCCCCGGCUAACUACGUGCCAGCAGCCGCGGUAAUACGUAGGGGGCAAGCGUUAUCCGGAUUUACUGGGUGUAAAGGGGGCGUAGAGGGUGAUGCAAGUCAGAAGGGAAAGCCCGGGGCUCAAGGCCGGGACUGCUUUUGAAACUGGGUAACUGGAGUGCAGGAGAGGUAAGCGGAAUUCCUGGUGUAGCGGUGAAAUGCGUAGAUAUCGGGAGGAACACCAGUGGCGAAGGCGGCUUACUGGACUGUAACUGACGUUGAGGCUCGAAAGCGUGGGGAGCAAACAGGAUUAGAUACCCCAGUAGUC